GAUUGCACCAGACAUGAACGCGUCAUUAAUUGCCUCGGUGAUCACUAAUCAGAUAUGCGGAAGACGAAGAAGACGACGACUGCGGGAUGUCCGAUCCGAAAUGACCUGUUUUAUUUGGUGCUAUCCAGCCACAAGCUAAUCGUUUGGUAUUGGAUUUAAUCAUUGAUGGACCCGAAGUCGAACGACCGCGCACUUGACAACGAAGGAUCCUCCAACGGUUGUGGAACCGUUGCGCAACACGAAAGCUUCCAAGUUCAGUCUGAGAAGUCACCUCCGAACAGUACAACCGCGACUUACGGGGUUCCAGCAGCGACCGAUGCGGGGUUCUGCUCACUACAAUUUUAAUCAAGCUUGCAACGGGCGGAUCAAAUGACUCCGAAUGCAGCAGUCUCAGCGAUUCACAUCAGCACAAUGUGAUAAAAAAUACAGCGGGAUUUACCGAUAUAAUUCAAUAUGCCCCCACACACAACGGUCACUAGCAGUGAAAUAAAUUACAAACGAUUCCCAACGAUUGCAGUUUCGCAGCGUGCAAAAACUGGAAAUUAUUAUUGAAUAAAUAA